rnacentral:lncRNA from 1 species
GGAACCCUUCUAGACUCUUCUUUGGAACAAAAAAUAAAUGAAAAGACCCUAAGGACCUAAGAGCAAUUAGCACAAAAAUACACAUUUAGACCUAGACCUAUAUAAUAGGGGUAACACCUAUCAGCUAGAAGAAGGAGGAGCUGAAGCGCCACAAUACACAAAAAAUAUGACAACCCCAUUUGCAUUCCAUUUCUCUUCUUCAUCCCAGCAACAGCUUUCAGCAGCCUCACGCCUACCACACUACACACACCCAUCAACAACCUCAUCUCCACCACGAACCUAUCCCCAAACCAGCCGUGAACCAUCCAUAAAUCCAUCGUCAAAACCACUAUGAAACCUCUGUAAUAGCAGCUUAUGGAGUUACAGAAUUUCAUUUACAAAAUCCCAUGAAAAUCAAUCCCAAUAACCAGCGAAAAGUAGCCAUAGUAGCUCGUUUUCAGUUUGUUUGCCACCGAGUUUCCGGCGAGCUAGAGGUCCGUUGAGUUCCGUCGAGGUUCGAGUGUCGUCCGAUGAGAUUCCGCUUCACCGAGCGAGUUCGUUGAUUGAUUAUCGUGUAUUUGAGCAGUUAUCAAAGAGUAAAGUGCAUUGUUGAAUUGCUGUUUGACACAGAGAUUGAAAGGUGCGUUCAUUGCUUGUAUAUCGCCGUAAUGCGCAUGGGUCUCAAGUCCAUCCUCAUUAUAGUUUUUGCUGUAUGUUAAUAUAAUUUUAGUUUAGUUAUCUCUGCAUUACCCUUCUUGUUUUAUAUUGAUUCAUGUCGAAAUGAGGAUCGCUUUAUCCAUGUUGAGCUUUCCUUUCAAAUAUGUUCAUCAUUUUGCUUGAAUGUUAUAACAGUAGUAUGCUAAAUAUCAUAUGUUUUUACAGUUUUAAAAGUUCAAUUGAAUAAUGGACCUUAUUGUUUUGAAAAUCUCCAACGAUUUGAAUUUUUGGGAGAAAAUGAUAUAUGAUUUCGUUUAAAAUAAUGGUACAAUUUUUAUGUUGAAGUUGUCGGAUUCAGAUUAUAGUUUAACUUUAGUCUUCAUGAUUUAAUUGUUAGUCUAAUUCUUUAAUGCACGCUUUACAAUGGUCUCACAAUUUGAGAAGAAUUAUGAAAUGCGUAGUUAUUUUAGGCGUGUAAUUUAAAUUACUUUCCUAAACUCGGGUGUGUAUUUAUGUGACUCAAAUCCAAAUCUCAACAACGUUAGAUAAAAUGUGUCGUGAACCGCGGGUGCAUUUAUGUGACAUAGUCCAAGAUGUGUUUUAGAUGACGUUGAAUCUUUCUAAAAAAAUAUCUAAAUAAAAGCGGCUAUAAAGUUAAAAUUGAACCAUAGGCUAAAAUAUGUAUUAAAAAUCAGAUAAUUAGGCCAAUAUAAUAGUUGAGCGAUCGUGGUAGAAUCACGGAACCCGGGAAUGCCUAACACGUUCUUCCGGGUUAACAUAAUUCCUUACCCGGAUUUUUGUGUUCGCGGACUAUAAAACAGAGUCAAUCUUUCCUCGAUUCGGGAUUUGAACCGGUGACUUGGGACACCAUAAAUUAUCCUAAGUGGUGACUCUGAACAAAUAAAAUAAUCCUGUUUCGAUUGUCACUUAAAUUGGAAAAAACUCCCUUAUACCCCUUUCGGGUAGUAAAAAGGAGGUGUGACACACUCAAUGCCUAGAACUUGCCAUGUGUGUGUACGAAGCGAAAUGAUAGUCUUAAUUGGUCUGGAAAGUGAUAUAGGUGUUUCCUUGUUGAACCUAUCUCUAUAUGUUUGCAUCCACCUGAUUGUGUAUAUUCUAGUUAACCCCUUUGAGCUUGUAUUCCUGUUUCUUUGGCAACCACAUUACAAGCCUUACCCAAGUUGUGAAUUGUCUAUCUUUUUGAACCCUAUCACCUCUUAAAAGUACUUGAAUUGUAAUGAAUAUGGAAAAGUUAAAGCGCGGGGUGGUUGAUUGGGCUUUUGAGUGGAGCUAAUGAAAUAAGAAGAAAGGUGCACUGUGUUAAAAAAAAUAAGAGCACACUUGAAUUGAAAAAAAUAAAUAUUUUUCCUUGCUAAGUGGUGACUCUUGAUGUAAACGUGCUUAAAGAAGUAGGGGGUGUAACUCAGUGAUGCAAAUAUGGAAUGAAGGUUUGACAAAGGUAUGGGCUUAAAAGUGAAAAAAAUAUAUUUAAGUGCUUAGGAAGGUGUAGUCACUAUACUCAUAUGUAUCCUACCUGUCCCGCAUCUAACACUACAACCAAAUAAAGUCUUACUUGAUUCUAGACCAAAAGAGCUCGAUUAGUAGAGUAUUACACUACGGGCAAGUCUAUGGUGCAUUGUUUGUGGCAUGAGAGUUUAUUUCUGAGGGUGAGUGAAAUCUUACGUAUGUGAAUUCCUCAGUGUGUAAAUUAUAAUGACAUGACACAAGUCUCUUUUGUGGUGAGUAGGCACGUGAUUCAGGAAGGAAAGGUAAGUCUGGACCUCUGACUGAGAAUAUGAAAGCCGGUUAGGGACAUUACGUAGCUAGAGAGAGAGUCCACUCUUGAGGUUAGGAGGUUACGCCAAGGUAGUCUAUCUAUGUGAUUCUUGGUAUAAGGAGUAGGGAAGUAACCCAGUGAUGAUUAGGCCUAUAGAGUAUGGUUUUGUUGCUAUAGGACUAGCAACAGUUUAAGUGUGGGGUGUUGAUAGUAGCCUAUAUUAUAUGAUGUAGAUGCUAUUUAUGCUAGAAGUUAAUCAUACUUUAUUGAUGUUUUAAGUGUUAAAUGAUAACAAAAUGCUCUAAUUGAGAUUUUUAUGCUUUGCAGGAACUACUCCGAGUUAGCAGGAGGAUAUAGAGUGUUUUGGAGUCAAUUAUGUAGAUACAAGGCCAAUUGAGAAGAGCCCGGAUGAAAACGAGCAAGAAAAGGCAAAAAAAAAACUGGGUAAUAGUCCACCGCGACCGCGGUAGGGCCGCGGCUAGAACGCGGUGAAAGAAAAGCAGAAAACAGAAUGUUUAAAAUGACCGCGGUCGUGCCGCGGUUGGCCCGCUACCGCGGUCGAUCUGAAGAAGACCAAGAAAGUUUAAGGGCUAAAGUAUAAAGUGUGAGAAACUUAUCCUAACCCUAUAUAAACUCAACAAACUCGCCCAAGUAAAAAAAAAAGCUUGUUUUUAGACUCAAUUGGAGGCAAGAACAAGUAUAAAAAGAUAAAGACACCAUUAGAGUUUUAAUUCUUCUUCUUGUUAUCAUUAUUUUGUGAAUUAUGAAUGAUUUUAUGGUUUUAUCUUGUUUUACAUGAGUAGAUAAACAUUUAAUCUAGGGUUGAUGGAACCAAUUGUUAGAUAAAGUUUUGACUUAGUUUUGUUAUAAUCGAGUCGGGUUUAUUAUAUGAUUGUUGAACUAUAUUUUGUAUGGUGAUUAAUUGAAUGGACUUU